CGUGCGGGCCGGGGCCCUCUGACGAUCGUUUGCCGCGAUCGUGAUGUCGGACCGCAUCG
rfam:Sphingobium baderi LL03 contig031, whole genome shotgun sequence.